rnacentral:rRNA from 1 species
CCUACGGGCGGCUGCAGUGGGGAAUAUUGGACAAUGGGCGAAAGCCUGAUCCAGCCAUGCCGCGUGUGUGAAGAAGGCCUUCGGGUUGUAAAGCACUUUCAGUGGGGAAGAAAGCCUUGGGGCUAAUACCCUCGAGGAAGGACAUCACCCACAGAAGAAGCACCGGCUAACUCCGUGCCAGCAGCCGCGGUAAUACGGAGGGUGCGAGCGUUAAUCGGAAUUACUGGGCGUAAAGCGCGCGUAGGCGGUCUGAUAAGCCGGUUGUGAAAGCCCCGGGCUCAACCUGGGAACGGCAUCCGGAACUGUCAGGCUAGAGUGCAGGAGAGGAAGGUAGAAUUCCCGGUGUAGCGGUGAAAUGCGUAGAGAUCGGGAGGAAUACCAGUGGCGAAGGCGGCCUUCUGGACUGACACUGACGCUGAGGUGCAAAAGCGUGGGUAGCAAACAGGAUUAGAUACCCUAGUAGUC